GGCCCUUUAAGGUCGAGGAUCAGGACAAUAAUUGGGGAUGAGCAUUCAUAUAAAUGCUCGCUCCUGAUAAUUGCCCAGUGUAAAUGCGCCAUUGCUGGAAGCGGAUUGUACUGUGUAAACAGGAAUGUGCUUCCAGCAAAAAAUGAUUCUCUAUGGGGAUGAGUGAUCGCAGUAUUGGAGAUGAUUGCUGCAUGUAAAUGCAACUGCCUUCUCUGCUCAAUGAUCAGCCAGCAAUCAGAAACGAAUGUCUUGUUCCUGAUGAUUGCUCAUACAUCAGCGGGUGCAAAGAGGCUUUAAGGGGUAUUCCCAUCACAAUGAUCACAGUUUAAUCUGUUAAUAGGGUGCCAGUGAUCAUUUUUGUAAAUAUAUUGUAUAAGCAAAUUCCCACCCUUCUUGAUCAAAUUCUUUCCCUCCUACCUCAUUAUUGUCCUUUGGUCUCCCAUAGUUACGGCCACAGCUGCCUGACGAUUCCAUGGGCCGUUCCUGCGCAGAUGAACCACAUCCAUCCAGUGGCCGGCCUCUCAUUUCAUUCAUGAAUGAGCACGCCGUCUGAAACAGAGCCGCGCAUGCUCUGUUUGCAGGGCAGACUUCGGAGACUCUGUAAGGACCUUCUGAUGUCACAAUAUCACGUGACAUCCCUAGGUCACGUGGGUAGGCAGCUGGAGCGCUCUGUUAUCACAGGCACCGGCCGAAUGUUUACAGAGUAGUAAGGUCUGCAGCACUGAGAGGGGAGAGAGUCUGACAGUGCUGGAGAGGUGGAUGUAACUACUGGAGAGGGGCUGAGAAUUGUAUGUAGGGGGGAGGGAUUCUGUGUGGGACUGUAUGCUCGGGGGAGGGGGCUGUGUGAGAUUAUACACUGGGGGGGCGGCUGCUGUGUGAGAUUAUAUACUGGGGCGGCUGCUGUGUGAGAUUAUAUACUGGGGGGGC